rnacentral:rRNA from 1 species
UACGUAGGGGGCGAGCGUUGUCCGGAUUCAUUGGGCGUAAAGCGCGCGCAGGCGGCUUGGAAAGUCGGGUGUGAAAACUCGGGGCUCAACCCCGGGCGUGCAUCCGAUACUGCCAGGCUUGAGGCAGGUAGGGGAGAUCGGAAUUCCUGGUGUAGCGGUGAAAUGCGCAGAUAUCAGGAGGAACACCGGUGGCGAAGGCGGAUCUCUGGGCCUGUCCUGACGCUGAGGCGCGAAAGCUAGGGGAGCGAACAGG